rnacentral:rRNA from 1 species
GGUUAAGUGACUAAGCGUGCACGGUGGAUGCCUUGGCAGUCAGAGGCGAUGAAGGACGUGCUAACCUGCGUUAAGCACGGGUG